CUAGAUUCUGGACUGUACCACAUAGUUGCUCAUUCUGGUAUUACUCUUUACCACCACCCACUGCCAGGGUGACGUAUUCAUUCAUUUAUUUUAUGUAUUCAGUCAUUAUUAUUAUUAUAGUUUCUUUUUAUGACCACAAACAAUUCACAUAGGCGAUUUCGAUUCAUAGUCAGAAUGUCCCCUGAAAAGCUGCCCUGGUCUCACCAGGCAAUUUCUCAUUGAAAUGCAUUCCAACCAAUCGAAGGAUGUCUUUCGAAGCCUUUCGGCCAAAGCACAGGAACUUCAACCAAUGAGAAAAAGUGUUAGGAAAGCUCUCCACGUUGAGCAUGGUGGUAGACACUGAUUGGCCAAGUGAAAAUUUUCGGAGUCUUUCCUUUUGAGUCUUUGACAGUUCUUAGACAGCAGCAGAGUAAACAGGAGGACGGUAUUACUGCUAAAACAUUUUAGUUUUCGCACCAGUGCGAUUGCGAGUUAAUUGGACGGUAUCACAGCUAAAACAGUUUGAUUUUUCGCACCAGUACGAUGGUUCACUACUGGGGUCACUGUACAGCUGUGAGAAUUACAAGAUGGAAAAACAAGAAGAGGAAAAGGGACAAAUACUUCUAAUAAAAUCCUCAAAGAUUGAUAUUAAAUGUGCUAGGUGACGUCGAUGACAAAGAAAAUUUGAAAGUAUCUUAAUGAAAAGAACUUAAAGAUCAGAUAUAAAUAAACUUUAACUUUGAUAAAAGAUCAUACAAUUCGGCGCUACGUAUAUCAAAGAAAAAAAAGAGGAAAUAAUCAAAUCGGAGAUAAAUGGCAAUGGAAAUCAAGAAGUACAAAUAACCAUGAGAGCCUCAUACAGGAAGACGUUCAAAGCAAAUAUGUAAAUGGCCUAUGGAAAACAAAAUGCACGUUAAUUCAUCAAGAA